UGAGAGGGUCUGGAGAGAGUGAGCUUGAGAGAAGAGUGAGCUUGAGAGAAGAGUGAGCUUGAGAGAAGAGACAGAGCUCGCGUCGGAGAGAUAGAGAGAGAGCUCUGGAGAUGGGUUUCGUCGGAGAUCGAGAGAGAUGGAAGAGAUGGGUUUCUCGCGUCGGAGAUAGAGAGAGAGCUCUGGAGAUGGGUUUCGUCGGAGAUCGAGAGAGAUGGAAGAGAUGGGUUUCUCGCG
rnacentral:lncRNA from 1 species